UGCAAUGGUUGAUAGUUGAUAAUUAUCAAUUCCUGCACAUAAAACUCAAUAGCAAACUCUAAUAGACAUUUUUGUAGUGGAAUAUUUGUGGUUGGAAGAUUUCGCCGUUCCGUCAGUAAAAUUUGUACCUACACUAGUUCCGGAAAAACCUUCUAUCCGUGAUGGAAUCGGCUUCGAAAUGGAUUGCAGUGUGCCCGUUUCAUCAUAAAAGCUGAAAGUUGGAAUACUUCUGAGCUUGGACCACAACACGGUGGCAAUCAGCGUUGUCUGGUUUUGUGGUAGCUGAUAGAUCAGAAGUUUCCAUCCUUUGAAGAUGAUCCCAAGCAAGAAGACGGAGUGGAAAUAAUUACAAAUGAUUAAUUUUGACCUGCAAGUGGACCAUUCUUAUUCGUUCAUGUAAAACCGUUUCGCUGCUGUGGGAGCCAUAAAUUAUCGCCGUGGUCCUGGCUAGUAAGUUGCUGCUGUGAAUGCUGCCGAUUGCUGACGAAAAAUGAAAAUUCUGGAAGACAUUUAUCAUCAGGUGCCGGAGCUGUUGUACAUGCAACCAAUCCCCAAGCCACUUCCAGCCAGUCUGCUGCAGUUGCCAUCAAGCAAAUCAUCACCACCGAUGAAACGUGCCAGCAUUUGCUACAACUCUACGGUACCCCCUCCUUCGGAAAAGAUGCCAGAUCAACCCUGGCAGAAUUACUCGCAUCCGCACUAUACUGUCCACUCUCCGGAUCACCAAGAGAAGCAUCGCUAGUACCAAUCUAUAUAGGGGUCGACCAUUCAUUACGUAAGCAUUUUUUUCUGGGUUUUUCGAAACCCCCUUCCCCUUGUAAGAUUUUUCCCAUACAAAUUAUUCUUUGUUUAUAUGCAAAGUAAGAAAAUGACAGACCCCCUUCCUUCUAAGUGCUUACGUAAUUAGUGUACGACCCAAAGAUACUGUACUGCAUAGUAAUUCAUUAUACCAUCGAUUGUGUGAUUUUAUUCCUCUAACAGAAAAUUAUACUUAAAAACUUUUAUUUAAAUACAUUGUGUUUUUGUUAACCUAUUUUUUAAAUAAU